AUAUAAUUAUCCUAUAUCUGGAGAAGUUGAGUACACGAAAGGAGGACUGGAGGUCGCAGUAUCUCUAUAUAUACACUAGAGGUCGCUGUAUUUCUGAGCAGUGGCUUAUGACGUUUCACUCGCUCUACGUACGGAAUCUCCAGCUACAGAGACGGCACAGACCUGAGACCUCAGCCUCUUACAGCUCAACAUUAGAAACGGAUAUCCUGUGGUUGGACGCUGCAGUAACCCUGAACCAUCCUGUCAGCUUUCCUGACGGGAAGCAUUGCUGAGAAGCAACCUGAUUUUGAUUAAAAUCAGCCCAAAGAUUCAGCCAAUGCAUAAUGCCACGAUCAAAUGAACUUCCUGAAGAGUUCAAAGAAAAGGUUAUUUUUCAUUAUAAGGCAGGUAAGGGAUACAAAUCCAUUUCGAAGAUUAUGGGAAUGCACAGAUCCACAAUCAGAUCCAUAAUCCGCAAAUGGAAAACACAUGGAACAGUGAUGAAUCUUCCCAGGAGUGGUCGACCAACUAAAAUCUCUCCGCGGACACAACGUAAAAUCAUCCAGGAAGUCGCCAAAAACCCUGCAAUCACAUCUAAAGAGCUGCAGGCUUCUCUUGCUUUAGCUAAAGUUAAAGUUCAUGAUUCUACAAUCCGAAGGAGACUGGACAGAAUCAGGCGUUGUGAGAGAGCAUCAAGGCAAAAACCACAGCAGAAGAAAAAGAAAAUAAAUACUCAACUCUUGUUUGAGAAGAAGCUACAGGAAGACUCUCAAGCUUUUGAGGAAAAUCUUAUAAAGACAGAAGUGGCAGAAGUGGAAGUUUAUGUUUGAUAAAGGUCCCAUUGUGUCUUAAACAGGCUGCCUGCAACAAUCCAGAGUAAAAACGUUGCCAACCGUCUUAUUCCUAUUCUAGGCUUUCUUUAUUUCGCACUUGUAUUUACUUCUUGCAUCAUAUUUGUUUACUUAUUGCUUAUUGUCAGGCAUUAAUAUAUAUUUUUAUAUAUAUGUAAUUUUUCACUCAUUGAAGUGCUUCUGUGCAAUACGAUCAUAUUUUUUCUUCAUCUUAUUGUUUGAAGCCUUAGCAAAAUAAGAGAAAUCCUCAUAAAUAUUACUAGUAUCAACAUAAUAAUAAACAACAUGCAUAUAAAA